UACUUAUUAGAUCUAUAAGGAGGAAUCGUGCAUAUUUCACCCAUUUGAACAAGUUUUUGUUUUCAUUAAACGUGGGGUCAGAUGUUUUUUGUUGACAUCUUCAGCAAGGCAUUGUGAGCAGAUUAGUGAUGUCUUCGUCUCAAUGUAGCUGCUUUCUUCAACAUAAAUAAUGUAUUUUAAUACCCAUCAAAAUUAACUAAUGCUAUAUAUAUAGGAGCUGAAGAAACCGAAAGGUCUCCUCAGAAUUUAACUUGGUCUCUACAUUCUUCCUACAAUCACGUGAUAGUUACAGGCUGCUUUUCUCCUUGUAUCCCAUAUUCCUUUUUUGUUUUUGUUUCUUUAUAUAUAUAUAUAUUUGCCCUUUUCUGGUUUAUAUGCACAGCUACCACUUGAAUAUAUAACUAGUGAAUUACCCCUCUGUGCUGCGGAACUACGUUACAACUGAACACAUGCAAAUCAUAGUAUCCAUGAAUCUGCACUACAAGAAAAAGAAGCUUUGGCAACGCUUUUUAUGGUCUUUA
rnacentral:lncRNA from 1 species